rnacentral:lncRNA from 1 species
GACAUUGGAUUUUGUGAAGUGUAGGAUCUUUGGACUUGUGGUAUUUGGACUUGUGAAGGGUUUGGUGGACAUAGUCUAUCUACCCCCGCUUUUAUUCUAGUCAUGUGACCCUUCAUAGCAUCCAUAUCAUUCCAUAAGGCAUCAUGACUAUCUUCCAUUUUUCAGGCCAAGGCAUCAUGGUUACUCUUCAUGUCUCGGUCCAAGGCCUCAAUUUGAGCCAUCAAGGCUCCAAUAGCAUCAUUUCCCAAAGAUUGGGCAGAAGUACCCCCGGAUUCCAUGGAAAAAUGUACCUACAAAGUGCAAAAAACAGCAAGCAAAACAACCUACAAAACGAACAAACGAUUUAGUUCAAAAGCCUCACUUCACUCACACUCAACCUCACCUCACACUUGGUUUCACAAGUGUUGGAGAAGCGGCAAUACUUGGCAAGUUACUUGAGAGGUGAGAAGCUUUGGAUCGGAAUUGAUCUUGGAUUG